rnacentral:misc_RNA from 1 species
AAGCCUUAAUCCCAAACUAGUUAGGGUCGGUUUCACGGAUCCUUUCUCGACAUUUAGCUCUGCUAGAUAUCAGGUCCACUCACUGACACCACAAAUAGUCAUAAAUCAUUAAUUGUUAUGAGUUCAGGAUCAUGCUACUAGUUUCUUGUAAUUAAAAUAAGCCUUCUUUGAAUAAAUGAACAGAAGUUGGUCUAAUAACAGUGAAAAUUAUAAAUCUAAAUUCUGAAGAAAUAGCAACAAGAUGGUACAUUAACAGUACAAGAAAAGAGAAGUAAAGAUCAACAAAAGUAUACCUCAUCAAAUUUCAUAAAGUUCUGG